UUGAAACACCGGUUAUCGUACGAUCACUGAAGUUAAGCAACAUCGAGCCUGGUCAGUACCUAGACGGGUGACUGUUUGGGAAUACCAGGCGCUGUAAG